rnacentral:rRNA from 1 species
AUGAACGCUGGCGGCGUGCUUAACCCAUGCAAGUCGCACGGUGAACACGGAGCUUGCUCUGUGGGAUCAGUGGCGAACGGGUGAGUAACACGUGAGCAACCUGCCCCUGACUCUGGGAUAAGCGCUGGAAACGGCGUCUAAUACUGGAUAUGUGACGUGACCGCAUGGUCUGCGUUUGGAAAGAUUUUUCGGUUGGGGAUGGGCUCGCGGCUUAUCAGCUUGUUGGUGAGGUAAUGGCUCACCAAGGCGUCGACGGGUAGCCGGCCUGAGAGGGUGACCGGCCACACUGGGACUGAGACACGGCCCAGACUCCUACGGGAGGCAGCAGUGGGGAAUAUUGCACAAUGGGCGCAAGCCUGAUGCAGCAACGCCGCGUGAGGGAUGACGGCCUUCGGGUUGUAAACCUCUUUUAGCAGGGAAGAAGCGAAAGUGACGGUACCUGCAGAAAAAGCGCCGGCUAACUACGUG